UGGGUAACCUGCCUCAAAGAGGGGAAUAGCCUCCCGAAAGGGAGAUUAAUACCGCAUAAUAUGUUUAAGUCGCAUGACUUUAACAUCAAGGGAUUUUCUUUUAGAAAAUUCCACUUUGAGAUGGACCCGCGGUGCAUUAGCUAGUUGGUGAGGUAACGGCUCACCAAGGCAACGAUGCGUAGCCGACCUGAGAGGGUGAUCGGCCACAUUGGAACUGAGACACGGUCCAGACUCCGUAGGGAGG
rnacentral:rRNA from 1 species